rnacentral:rRNA from 1 species
UACGAACGCUGGCGGCAUGCCUAAUACAUGCAAGUCGAGCGAACAGAUGAAGUGCUUGCACUUCUGACGUUAGCGGCGAACGGGUGAGUAACACGUAAGGAAUCUACCUAUAAGCGGGGGAUAACAUUCGGAAACGGGUGCUAAUACCGCAUAAUAUCUUCUUCCGCAUGGAAGAAGAUUGAAGGACGGCUCUGCUGUCACUUAUAGAUGACCUUGCGGCGCAUUAGUUAGUGGGUGGGGUAACGGCCUACCAAGACGAUGAUGCAUAGCCGACCUGAGAGGGUGAUCGGCCACAUUGGGACUGAGACACGGCCCAAACUCCUACGGGAGGCAGCAGUAGGGAAUCUUCCGCAAUGGGCGAAAGCCUGACGGAGCAAUGCCGCGUGAGUGAAGAAGGCCUUCGGGUCGUAAAACUCUGUUAUAAGAGAAGAACAAAUUGUAGAGUAACUGCUACAGUCUUGACGGUAUCUUAUCAGAAAGCCACGGCUAACUACGUGCCAGCCGCCGCGGUAA